rnacentral:rRNA from 1 species
AUUGAACGCUGGCGGCAUGCUUUACACAUGCAAGUCGAACGGCAGCACGAAAGAAGCUUGCUUCUUUUGGUGGCGAGUGGCGAACGGGUGAGUAAUACAUCGGAAUGUACCGUUUAGUGGGGGACAACUUUCAGAAAUGGAAGCUAAUACCGCAUACGAACUACGGUUGAAAGCAGGGGACCUUCGGGCCUUGUGCUAAACGAGCAGCCGAUGGAAGAUUAGCUAGUUGGUAGGGUAAAGGCCUACCAAGGCAACGAUCUUUAGCGGGUCUGAGAGGACGAUCCGCCACACUGGAACUGAGACACGGUCCAGACUCCUACGGGAGGCAGCAGUGGGGAAUUUUGGACAAUGGGGGCAACCCUGAUCCAGCAAUGCCGCGUGAGUGAAGAAGGCCUUCGGGUUGUAAAGCUCUUUUGUUAGGGAAGAAAAGGACUCGGAUAAUACCCGGGUCAGAUGACGGUACCUAAAGAAUAAGCACCGGCUAACUACGUGCCAGCAGCCGCGGUAAUACGUAGGGUGCAAGCGUUAAUCGGAAUUACUGGGCGUAAAGCGUGCGCAGGCGGCCUCGCAAGUCAGAUGUGAAAUCCCCGAGCUCAACUUGGGAACUGCAUUUGAAACUACGAGGCUAGAGUGUGUCAGAGGGAGGUAGAAUUCCACGUGUAGCAGUGAAAUGCGUAGAGAUGUGGAGGAAUACCAGUGGCGAAGGCGGCCUCCUGGGAUAACACUGACGCUCAUGUACGAAAGCGUGGGGAGCAAACAGGAUUAGAUACCCUGGUAGUCCACGCCCUAAACGAUGUCAACUGGUUGUUGGGUCCUCAUUGACUUAGUAACGAAGCUAACGCGUGAAGUUGACCGCCUGGGGAGUACGGUCGCAAGAUUAAAACUCAAAUGAAUUGACGGGGACCCGCACAAGCGGUGGAUGAUGUGGAUUAAUUCGAUGCAACGCGAAAAACCUUACCUACCCUUGACAUGCCACUAACGAAGCAGAGAUGCAUUAGGUGCUCGAAAGAGAAAGUGGACACAGGUGCUGCAUGGCUGUCGUCAGCUCGUGUCGUGAGAUGUUGGGUUAAGUCCCGCAACGAGCGCAACCCUUGUCAUUAGUUGCCAUCAUUAAGUUGGGCACUCUAAUGAGACUGCCGGUGACAAACCGGAGGAAGGUGGGGAUGACGUCAAGUCCUCAUGGCCCUUAUGGGUAGGGCUUCACACGUCAUACAAUGGUCGGUACAAAGGGUCGCCAAGCCGCGAGGUGGAGCCAAUCCCAUAAAACCGAUCGUAGUCCGGAUUGGAGUCUGCAACUCGACUCCAUGAAGUCGGAAUCGCUAGUAAUCGUGGAUCAGAAUGUCACGGUGAAUACGUUCCCGGGUCU